UCGAAGCCUCACAAGCAGUGCGACCCCGUGAAUUUGUUUGACUACUCAGGGGUGGCUAGUGGUGUUCGUCACCUCGGUCCCCCUCAUGUCGGGAGGCGCCCCACCCUGCGUGGUCUCCUCCUGGCCCAAUAACAAAACCCCGGCGCCGAACGCGCCAAGGAAAUUGAAAUCGUCUAGUGCGCCCUCGUCGGCCCGGAGACGGUGCCCGUGCUGGUGGCGUUGCGACACGUGUAUCCGAA
rnacentral:rRNA from 1 species